rnacentral:rRNA from 1 species
GACGAACGCUGGCGGCGUGCUUAACACAUGCAAGUCGAACGCUGAAGCUUGGUGCUUGCACUGGGUGGAUGAGUGGCGAACGGGUGAGUAAUAAGUGAGUAACCUGCCCUUGACUCUGGGAUAAGCCUGGGAAACUGGGUCUAAUACUGGAUACGACAUGUCACCGCAUGGUGGUGUGUGGAAAGGGUUUUACUGGUUUUGGAUGGGCCCACGGCCUAUCAGCUUGUUGGUGGGGUAAUGGCUCACCAAGGCGACGACGGGUAGCCGGCCUGAGAGGGUGACCGGCCACACUGGGACUGAGACACGGCCCAGACUCCUACGGGAGGCAGCAGUGGGGAAUAUUGCACAAUGGGCGGAAGCCUGAUGCAGCGACGCCGCGUGAGGGAUGACGGCCUUCGGGUUGUAAACCUCUUUCAGCACGGAAGAAGCGAAAGUGACGGUACGUGCAGAAGAAGCGCCGGCUAACUACGUG